rnacentral:rRNA from 1 species
UUUCGAAUCAUUCACAAUGGGCGAAAGCCUGAUGGUGCGACGCCGCGUGAGGGAUGAAGGCCUUCGGGUUGUAAACCUCUGUCACCGGGGAAGAAACGCUUCAAGUUAACAGCUUGAAGCCUGACUUAACCCGGAGAGGAAGCAGUGGCUAACUCUGUGCCAGCAGCCGCGGUAAUACAGAGACUGCAAGCGUUAUUCGGAUUCACUGGGCGUAAAGGGUGCGCAGGCGGCCAAAUGUGUGAGGCGUGAAAGCCCGGGGCUUAACCCCGGAAUUGCACCUCAAACUAUUUGGCUAGAGCAUUGGAGAGGGUAGCAGAAUUCACGGUGUAGCAGUGAAAUGCGUAGAUAUCGUGAGGAAUACCAGAGGCGAAGGCGGCUACCUGGACAAUUGCUGACGCUCAGGCACGAAAGCGUGGGGAGCAAAAGGG